GCAUUGUUGGUUUAAUGGUAUAAUGGCCGCCUGCCAUGCUGCCGACACGUGUUCGAUUCCUGGAUAAUGCA